rnacentral:ncRNA from 17 species
UUGUCUCUAUGGGGACGCAUCAAAUAAUAAAUCAGUUUUAGAAUAAAAGGCGCAGCGUUCUGCGCCUUUUUU